AUCUUCCAGUCCAUUUUCUUCAUAAAUACCUAAAAUCCUCUCAUCAUCUUGCAAUGUACCUAACUUGCAUAAUUCUCCUUCAAUAUUAUAUAAUCUUUUUCUUUCUUUUCUUUUAAAAUCAUCAACUUUCUUAUACAUUAUAUUUCCAUUCUCCAAAAUACCAAUAAAACUCGCAUCAAAGGCACCUUCAUCUCGCGAGAGUACCUCCUCUUUUGUACCUCCAUAAUCUUGCUUUACAAUGGUACCUCCCCAAAAUCCUUAAAUCCUUCAACAAUCUUUGGCAAUGGUUUCUCCUUCAACCU
rnacentral:lncRNA from 1 species